CACUUUUGACCCUCGUCACUGUGUGACACUCCGACCCCUUUCACCCCUCACCCGGCCUGCUGCUGCACAGUGCACUGCCAGAUGACAGUCUGCCUCAUGGACAGCAGCAGCUGAGCUCAGCCUCGUGUCUCUGGUGGCAUCAUCGGAAGCUAGCCUAGCUGGCAGCUGCCUGCAGAGUUUAGAUGAGACCACCAGACUGCUAACGGAUAUAUCCCAGUCAAGAGCAGAGGGGUCCAAACAGCCACAUCUGAAGUUUUUCCCUCUGACCCUUCAGGGGGAUAGAAGACGAGGCUUCACGAAAGAGUGGUAGUGUAUGCAUAAAUGGCUGGAAUACUCUCAGAGUAAAGACUCUGCCUACUGCUAUGCCUGCCGGCACUUCAGUCUCACCUCCUCAGCACAAACAAACUACCCAGUAAACAUACCACUUUGUGGUUAAAGGAAUUCCUGCCUCAGUCUCCAUUCCUCUCACUCACCUGACCCGUGACCACCUGUUCACCUUCACUAUUGUCAGUCAUCCUACCUGUCUAGCUAUCCACACAGAUUCCAAAAAUCUUUCAAUGGUCUUUCAAGUCGGAUGAUGACUGAACCAAAGACAGGUGAAAAGGAAAAGGAGGAGAAGGAAGAAUUGUCUCCACCGGAAGGAAGGAGAGAAGAAGAAGUAGCAGCUGAGGCUAAAGAUGAGGGAAAAGUCCUGGAACCAAUAAAAGAUCCAGGAGCUAAGCCUAAAGCACUGAAGAAGACAUCAUCCUCAAGCACCAGGAGAACUAGGCAACAAACGAGCAGACAACCACCUGGUUAUCUUAAGGAUUAUGUGGUGGAGUUUCCCCCACCAAAGGGCAAGCCUACUAGAGCUCCACGCAGUGAUGGAUCGACUGUACGUUUCAGCCAUCAACCAUUCUGUCCGAGCCAAGGACCGGAAACUGCUUUGGAAAGGGAGAGUGGUCUACAGGAAGAACCCAUGGAAGUGGUAACUCCCACAGCACAGGCCGGCCAGCUCUCCAAGGUGGGCUCCACUCACCCCUCAAGUCAUGGGAAAUCGUCAAAGCACUCUAGACGGAGUGAGAGUUCGACCGGUGGAUACCCCUUUGGAAGUGGCCAUGGUAGCCGCCAUUCACUAGCCCUCAGCAAUCCAACUACUAGUGUUGGAGGAAAUUGAGCAUCAGAUUGAGGAGGAAUGACAGGCUGAUGAACGAUGUCACCUAUCGGAUGUGCAGACCCGUAGAGCUCUACAGGAAGGGGAAUUUAUGGCCAAAGACCUGGCACAGCAGCGGCGACGCUGCCGUCAAGCAAGAAAGGAAUUGGAGGAGGCACGGAUAUUCUCAUCCUUUCUGGAGAGGAAAGAACAGGGAAUUGACCUGACCACCACUCCACAUGGACCUGACCUGUCUGCCUUUCUUUCCCAAUCUGCUCCUCUGGUACAGCAUGGCCUGAGGCUCCGAAGUCAACAGCCAGCACGUACCAUGGGGGACAGGCCGCUCCGCCAACGCUCUCUAUGCCAGUGACACAAGUUAGCAUUCCUCCAUCUAGCCAAAGCACCUCUCCUUCGCCUUUCCACCAAUUACCAACAGCGGCAAAUAUUUUUUCUCAUUCAGGGCCUGGGCCAGGCCAGUCCUCAACCAUCAGGUGGGAGAGCUCAAUUCAGGCUGCCACCAAUGGACGGUCUGGGACAGUAGGGGACAAGCCCAACGAGGCCACAGUGAGCUCAUCAGCAGUCCCGGGUUUAUCCUUCACGCAACCAGAAGAGGGAGCCAACAUCAUGAAACUGUUGGUAGCCUCAACCUAUGGAAUUCCCAGACCCAAACUAAGAUACUUGGAGUGUGGAAGGCAGAGUGAUUUUUAUCCUCUUGGAAAUGGCAUUGGAGAGCCCACUGGGUAUUCACAGUCAUCUGUCAGAACGAUACAAAUACCAAGUACUGAUGGAUCACUUGCGGUUUCCAAGUGCAUACGAGCUGGCCAAAUCCUUUAUGCACUCCGCAACACCAUACACUGCCGCUCUCCUGGUCCCGAAAGCUAGAUAUGGUGAGCCAUAAGAAGAUGGGAACGAGCUGAAAUGUGGUUCCCACAUAGACAGGCUCUUUGGUGAGCUUCCAGCCUACCUCAGAGACAGUUUCAUCAAACAUUGUUUGAACAAAGGCAUCCUGAAAGAGGGAUCAUCCUGAAAGAGGGCUCGAUCACCAGGCCUCAAUCUCAGCCACAGCCUCUGGGGUAAGGAAGGAGUUUGAAUGCAAGGAAGGUCAAAAAAGGCCAAAUCCCACUACCGUGUACUUAAAUAGUAAGCCGGGUAGGAACCCGGGAAGAAGAUCUCUCUCGAGAAAGAACAUCAAAUUCCAGCCCUACUGCCCCUAUUGCAAUAGUAAGGGGCACUUCCUGGGCUCAUGCCCUAAUUGAAGGCCUUGAUAACUUCAGGUGAGCGAUGCUAUAUGUGUGCAUGUAGCCAUAAAGCGUAGACCUGCACAUUGAGGAAACCUUGCAAUCGCUGUAAGGAAAUCCAUCUCACAGUGUUGCAUGAUGUAAUUCCCCAAGCACCGAAGGAGCAGAGUAUGCUCAUGGUAGGAGCUGCAAAUGAGCUCUACCUCGACCAGCCUAACCAGUCUCCAAGGGUCAUGUUGAAGGUAGUAAAGGUCAGGAAAGGUAGUAAAGGUAAAGGAAAAACAAAGGGAGGAGCAUGGAUACAUUCGCCGUUCUAGAUGAUGGGUGUGAAGAACAAUUAUUCUCCCAGCUGCCGCCCGGCAACUUAACCUGAAGGGGUCCCCUGAGACCCUUAACCUCAGAAUGGUGCAUCAUGAUGUUAUCCAAAUGAAAGGCUCUGCUGUGACCUUCUGCGUUUUACCUUCAGGACAGAGAGACGUGGCCUACAACUUCACCAAUGCCUUCACGGCAGAUGGCCUGAAUCUCGCAGAGCACUCCUGCCCGGUGAGUGUUCUACAGAAGCAAUAUCCUCAUCUCAGAGGACUGCCUCUUCCCAACAUGGCCAGGGUUGCACCACUCAUCCUGAACAGGUCACUCUACCCACACCUCGUUACCCCGACCAAUCCUAUACGAACUGGACCAGAAGGAGGGCCCGUUGCUGUCCAUACAUCCUUGGUUUGGGCCGUGCAGGGUCCAGCCCAUCUACUUCUCUCCACACAAGCUGUACAGUCACAGCAAGUCCUCUUUACCAGAAGCAGUCCAGCUCCAUCUCCCUGUCCAGAUGCUCUGGAAGAUGGACACCUACUCCAACCGCAAGCUAAAGGAGAUCACCCGCUCAAAACAUGAUUCCUAUGCAUUAGACCUCCUGGAGUAGCACACCACCACCACUGAAAUGGAUGGGAUUCAGAGGUACACAAACCCGUUGCUAUGGGUGCCCAACCAUCCUCCUCUGGCAACCACAACACGGGCUGUACUACCACUACUUCGCUGAACGGUGCGGCAACUGGUGAACAAUCCUGAGCUUGCUGAAGUUCAAAACCGAUUGUGAAGGAAGGAUAUGUCACCAUGGUCAUAUGGCCAUUUCCCUCUUCAUGAACGCUCAUGAAGAGGGAACCCCCCUCAGCAAAUCCUGGUAACUCCCUCACCAUGUUAUCCAGCAACACAGUGGGAAUUAUAGACUUGUCUUCAACUGUUCAUUCCAAGCCGCUGGUCAAAGCCUGAAUGACUGUCUGCUCCCCGGACUGACCUUAGGUCCUUCCUUGCUUGGUGUCCUUCUCCAGUUCCGGCAGCACUCCACAGCCGUCAGAGGAGACAUCAAAGCCAUGUUUCAUCAGAUUUGUCUGCUGCCUUCCGACACCACACUGCUCCGGUUCAUACGGCGAGAGAUGGAAUGAGACGCAGAGCCCACAAUCUCUGAAUGUACUCCCAUUUGGCACCACAUGCAGUCCUUGCUGUGACAUAUAUGCUCUGCAGACAAACACACGGGAGCACCCAGACAAUGACCCCAAAGUCUGGGAUUCAGUGGAGAAUGCCUUUUAUGUGGAUAACUGCUUACAGAGCGCCCCAUCCGCUGCUGAAGCGAAAGCACUCCUCGACAAAGUCCAGAAUCACCUGUUGAAAGGGGGAAUCGAGGUCAGACAGUGGGCGAGCAACACAGUAGAAGUUAUCCAGCACCUCCCGCCACAAGCCAGGUAAAGUAGCAGUGAACUAUGGCUGUCGCUGUCUGGCACUAACCCACAAGAGCCCACUCUAGGACUGAGAUGGAGCUGCAUACCGGAUACCCUGGGGUACAAGCACCGCUCAACCCUGAGCACCAAAACCGCCCCUCUGCGCACCAUCUAUCGGACCCUGGCCAGUCAAUACGAUCCCCUCAGGUAUAUCCUGCCAUACACAACCCGAGCCAAAGUCUUGGUCCAGGACCUGUGGCAGAUCAAGAGGGACUGGGAUGAACCAAUCCACCCAGCUGACCUACUGGAAUGAUGGAUCUGUUGGGAAACCGAUUUGUCGGAACUUCAUGUGUUCUGUGACGCAUCAGAGCGGGCUUAUGGAGCGGUUUCCUAUCUCCGACUGGAGGAUGAGGCAGGCCACACCCAUGUCUCCAUUGUCAUGGCCAGGUCCAGGGUCGCACCCAAAAAGCAGUUGUCAAUGCCUAGUCUGGAACUCAGCACUGCCCUUUCCAGAGCCCAGUUGGACUCCACCUUGCGAGCCGAGCUCACCUUGUCAAUCCAAAGGGUCAUCUAGAGUGAUUCGACCUCUGUACUGACCUGGCUCAAGUCGGAGUUCUGCAGGUAUAAGGUGUUUGUCGGAACUCGCAAUGUGGAAAUCCAAGACCUAACGGAAGUCAAUGACUGGAGGUAUGUUGACAGCGUAAACAAUCCUGCUAAUGACAUCACUGGUAAAACCCUUAAGGAACUGGCUCAACCCUAUCGCUGGAGCUUGGGACCACCAUUCUUCUCCCAACCAGAGAACGAGUUGCUGACAGUGCUCAGACAGUGACUUUUUUGUAGAGAUAAAGGUGCUCAAAGUUGACCCAUUUUGCAUACCCCACUCUACCAUGAGACAUCGAUAUCUUCACUGGAAAAGAUAAACGGAUGAGAUUGAUAUAAUUUAAAGCUUACAAACAGGGUUGUCAAACUAUUUUAUAAUUUUUUGAAAUGUUUUUUUUUAAAACAAAUUGUCAUUUAACCUUAAACAUCAAUUAUCUAAAUAUGUGUAAACUGUGUUUAUCAUCUUUGUAUAUGUUUUAGCUUAGACCCUAUUUUACAUAAUCUGAGUUUUGUUUUGCUGCACAACACAAAAACAACAACAUGCAUGGUCUUGUGUCUCUACUGAAUACGUGGUGGGUAUCAUGUUCUCUGAUAAAUGCACUAAAAUGGGAAUAAAAUGGAAAUUUCAACAUUCAAAUGGUCCAUACAUAAUUAUCUUUUUACUUGAAUGGGAAUAUCUGUAGUUUUAAAGUAUACUGUCAAUCCUCCAUAGGAAAUUAUUGAAAUAUAGAUCAUAGAAUAGACAUGAGCACUUAAAUUAGAAUUUGACAGUGGGUGGACCAGCGGCCAUCUUUGUGGUAGUAAUUAGAAGUAACAAUUUCAAUUCAAUUUACAUUCAAUGGUUUAGGGUUGACCUACCAACUAAAUUGCAGUGUUUUGAAGGGAUUUGUUUAUUCUAUGAGUUGUAUUUGUAUGAUUGCAAUGGCACCCACCCUGUAUUCAAGAGCAUGUUGUGUCUCAACCGAUUGCGGGCACAACACAAAGGAGUGACUGAGGAGUGUUUUUGUCUGCUCUGCUAACGCUGAUACAGAAGUAAUAAUGGCCUAGUUCAAUCAUUUUGUGGUCGAAGACAUCAAAAUUAUGAAAUACCACAUGGAAUCAUGUAGUAACCAAAAAACUGUUAAACAAAUCAAAAUAUAUUUUAUAUUUGAUUUUCUUCAAAAAGUGAUUGAAUUCAAAUGGAUUCACCCCAGUACAAGAACGCUAACUCAACAUUAU
rnacentral:lncRNA from 1 species